GACGAACGCUGGCGGCGUGCUUAACACAUGCAAGUCGAACGGAAAGGCCCUGCUUUUGUGGGGUGCUCGAGUAGCGAACGGGUGAGUAACACGUGAGUUACCUGCCCCUGACUUUGGGAUAACUUCAUGAAACUGGGGCUAAUACCGGAUAGGAGUUCCUGCUUCAUGGUGGUGGUUGGUAUGAUUCGGCGGUUGGGGAUGGACUCGCGGCUUAUCAGUUUGUUGGCGGGGUAGUGGCUUACCAAGGCUUUGACGGGUAGCCGGCCUGAGAGGGUGGCCGGCCACAAUGGGACUGGGAUACGGCCCAGACUCCUACGGGAGGCAAGAGGGGGGAAUAUUGCACAAUGGGCGGAAGCCUGAUGCAGCAACGCCGCGUGCGGGAUAACAGCCUUCGGGUUGUAAACCGCUUUCGCCUGUGACGAGGCGUGAAUGACGGUAAUGGGUGAAGAAGCACCGGCUAACUACGUG
rnacentral:rRNA from 1 species